rnacentral:rRNA from 1 species
UACGUAGGUGGCAAGCGUUGUCCGGAAUUAUUGGGCGUAAAGCGCGCGCAGGCGGUCUUUUAAGUCUGAUGUGAAAGCCCACGGCUUAACCGUGGAGGGUCAUUGGAAACUGGAGGACUUGAGUGCAGAAGAGGAGAGUGGAAUUCCACGUGUAGCGGUGAAAUGCGUAGAGAUGUGGAGGAACACCAGUGGCGAAGGCGACUCUCUGGUCUGUAACUGACGCUGAGGCGCGAAAGCGUGGGUAGCGAACAGG